GAAAGUAAACAAGGGCGCAUGGAGGAUGCCUAGGCUCUCGGAGGCGAAGAAGGACGUGAUAAGCUGCGAAAAGUUACGGUAAGGCGCAAAUAGCCCUAGACCCGUAAAUAUCCGAAUGGGGCAACCCGGCCAGCAAUGGCCAUACCGCCAAGCGGUAAGCCAACGCGGGGAACUGAAACAUCUAAGUACCCGCAGGAAAAGAAAAUAACAAUGAUUCCGCCAGUAGUGGCGAGCGAACGCGGAACAGCCCAAACCACCCGUGUUACGGCACGGGUGGGGUAGAAGGAUCCACGAUACGGCAAGAAAUAAGUUAGCGGAAUACGAUGGAAAUCGUAGCCAAAGACGGUGACAGCCCGGUACGCGAAAACCGACAGAAGCCCAGUGGACACCUGAGUAACCCAGGACACGAGAAAUCCGGGGCGAAUCAGCGGGGCCCAUCCCGUAAGGCUAAAUACUCCCGAGAGACCGAUAGCGAACCAGUACUGUGAAGGAAAGGUGAAAAGAACCUCGAACAGAGGAGUGAAAGAGACCCUGAAACCAUGCGCCUACAAGCGGUCGGAGCAUGUUAAAAUGUGACGGCGUGCCUUUUGCAUAAUGAACCUACGAGUUACUCUCGCUGGCAAGGUUAAGCGAUUCAGUCGCGCAGCCGAAGCGAAAGCAAGUCCGAACAAGGCGUACAGUCAGCGGGAGUAGACGCGAAACCAAGUGAUCUACCCUUGGUCAGGUUGAAGGUUGGGUAACACCAACUGGAGGACCGCACCGAUAAGCGUUGAAAAGCUUACGGAUGAACUGAGGGUAGGAGUGAAAGGCCAAUCAAACUUGGAGAUAGCUCGUACUCCCCGAAAUGCAUUUAGGUGCAGCCUCGAAGCAGAGUGAUAGAGGUAGAGCGACUGAUAAGAUGCGAGGGCUUCACCGCCUAUCAAGUCUUGACAAACUCCGAAUACUAUCACUUGAUCUUUGGGAGUGAGGGCAUGGGUGCUAAGGUCCAUGUCCGAAAGAGGAACAACUCAGACCACCGGCUAAGGUCCCGAAAUAAGGGCUAAGUUGAAUAAACGAAGUAAAACUGCAAAGACAGCUAGGAUGUUGGCUUGGAAGCAGCCAUUCAUUUAAAGAGUGCGUAACAGCUCACUAGUCGAGGAGUUUUGCAUGGAUAAUAAUCGGGCAUAAGCCCUUUACCGAAGCUGUGGAUGUCGUAAGACAUGGUAGGGGAGCAUUCCGGCGGCGACGAAGGCCGUCCUCGAGGACGACUGGAGCUUUCGGAAAAGCAAAUGUAGGUAUAAGUAACGAUAAAGGGGGCGUGAAACCCCCUCGCCAUAAGACUAAGGAUUCCUGAUCAACGCUAAUCGGAUCAGGGUAAGUCGGGCCCUAAGGCGCAGCCGAACGGCGCAGCCGAUGGAAGAAACGGUAAAGAUUCCGUUACUGGAUAUAGGAGCGAUGUGGAGACGGAGAAGUGACACACCCGCCUGCCGACGGAAGCGCAGGUUAAAGGAAGUAGGUAAACGCCGGGCAGGCAAAUCCGCCCAGCGUGCCGAAGCUGACAGUAUCGAGAGCCCCCGGGCAAUCGAAUAGCGGUGGUAACCAGGCUCCCAAGAAAAUCCGCUAAGCAAAUUCUAUAUCCACCCGUACCCCAAACGGACACACGUAGUCGGGUAGAAUAUACCAAGGCGCUCGAAAGACUCACGGUUAAGGAACUAGGCAAAUUGACCCUGUAACCUCGGGAAAAAGGGUCCCCAGUAAGAUGGGGCGCAGAGAAUAGGUCCAGGCAACUGUUUAACAAAAACACAGGGCUGUGCAAAAUUUCAAGAUGAAGUAUACAGCCUGACACCUGCCCGGUGCCGGAAGGUUAAGAGGAGAGCUAAUCGCAAGAGAAGGCUUGAAUUGAAGCCCCGGUAAACGGCGGCCGUAACUAUAACGGUCCUAAGGUAGCGAAAUUCCUUGUCGGGUAAGUUC
rnacentral:rRNA from 1 species